CAGCAGCCGCGGGAAUACGUAGGGUGCGAGCGUUAAUCGGAAUUACUUGGCGUAAAGCGUGCGCAGGCGGUUUUGUAAGACAGGCGUGAAAUCCCCGGGCUCAACCUUGGAAUGGCGCUUGUGACUGCAAAGCUAGAGUGCGGCAGAGGGGGAUGGAAUUCCGCGUGUAGCAGUGAAAUGCGUAGAUAUGCGGAGGAACACCGAUGGCGAAGGCAAUCCCCUGGGCCUGCACUGACGCUCAUGCACGAAAGCGUGGGGAGCAAACAGGAUUAGAUACCCGGGUAGUCCCUGUCUCUUAUAC
rnacentral:rRNA from 1 species